rnacentral:lncRNA from 1 species
GCUCAUUAAUCACACUGGAUAGAAUUAGAAUGUGAGCUGCUUGAAGUAAAAAAUAGGACUUUGCCAGAUGGCAGAUGUCUUUUUGGUUAGCAAUGUCAUGCCGUAUUUUGAACGAAGAGAUGACAGGGGGAGGAGUCGUUGAGAACAGCUUUUUCAAGUCACACCAAGGCAUGCAAUACGGGGUCUUGGAACGCAGGAGGAAGUCUUAUGGAGCUGAAAAGAGCUACUGAUUACCUAACCCUGUUCUGCACGUUAUCGUCUGAAUCUGACUGAGCACUGACUGAAUCUGCUGAGCAUCCUGCACCACCCGAUACUGCCUAGGGGAGAAGGAAGACUCAGGUUCUCAGGGAGCUGAUGAUCAAUCUGUGCCUUGGCUGGCCUGCCACCCAUCUCUGAGUCCCUCGUCCUUGCCAGGCGGCCCUGCGGAAGGGGCUCACCGCGAGCCAGGAGCAGACACCCUCUCGCCCUCUUGGGAAAGCGGAUCAGGCCGGCUUCUGGGGCGCUCCCUGCACCCCGCCACCUUCUGGGACCUCCGCUGAGAGCCGCGCUUGGGGCACCGCCGGGCCAGCCUCCAACCCCGCCCCCGACAAGGCAGAGCCCGAGACACA